rnacentral:snoRNA from 1 species
GUUCUGUGAUGAAUACACUAUUCAGUUCUGCUUCCGAAAGAGAGAGUAAUCUCCUUGUGGAAACCUUUUUACCAAAACUCUCAUUCUGAUUC